CUUCACCAUCUCAACUAAUUCAUCUUCAAUCACUUUCUUUCAUAGAGAUUUUAAUCAAAUUCUACAAUGAAUUCCAAUUGGGCUGCCAAGUGGUAGGUGAUGACCACCAAAGAAGAGGAGGAGAUGCAAGAAGAGGAGGAGGAGAAGGAGGAGAAGGAAGAAGCUGAUGCAAGCCUCAGAAUGGCAAAUAAAAUGAUGGCAAACGCUGGAAAUUGGUGGACUUAUGAGCAACUUCAUCAACAACCUGAUAGGAGCAUAAUUAUGCUAUGAUAAUGUUUUCCAACGCAAGGAAAGAAAUAAGAGCAAAAUGAAGGAGAUAUGUGCGAAUAAUGGAGAAUUGUGGACUCUUGAUGAAUCAAGGAAGGUUAAGGCAACAUGAAGAAAAAGAUAUUCAGCAAUUAAUUCUCUUGGCUGCUCCUAUUGGACAGAAUGAUGUCAAUGAAUCCUAAAUUAAUCAGAACAUUAACCAAGGAGCUUACUGUUGAAGCCAAGGAGUUAGAGUCCCAAAAGGAAAGAAGAAAAGAGUUACAAACUGAAUAAAAUCUCUCCUUGGACGUUCAAGAAACGGACCAUCUCACAUAGGAAGAAGCAUAGACGCACCAGAGCUCAAGAAGAAGCAAGACUGCGAAACCACACCAGAAACGAUCGAUCGUUGGAAUUUCCGAGAUCGACCGCUGAUCCGUAUUUUCCAAUUUUCUGAUUUUUGUUGUCUUCUUUCUCCAUGAACUCCUUUGUGUUUUUGAUUCCCAUUAUGUGUAACUAAAUUUCCAGUAGUUAGGGGGCAGUUGAAGCCCCUAUACAUGAUCCACAACAUGUUUUGACAUUCAAUUUGUUUUCUAAUUAAUAAAGUUGAGGUUUUGUUUACCGAUUUCU